CUCUAAUCUCCCCUCCAAAGAAUAUCAAUGGCAAGAAGAAGGUUGAAGAUGGCUCCCACAAUCACAAGAUUGUUAAAACAACUUCUAAAGAAAACUCAAGAGAGAAAUCUUGGAGAAAACUCAAAGAAAAUUCUGCUCUCAACAAAUCUGAAAUUUUAAUAAUAAUGAUAAGUGUUUAACAAGGUGGACAGCCAUGCCUUUAAAUAGGCCUUAUAACUAGUCCUAAUCUAAUUAGAAAACUAAAAUAAAAAAAACUCCUAAUUAUUUUAAUAUGGAAAUUCGGUCAAAGGUCAUUUUAUCUAGGACUCUUGGACUGAAUAUUGACAUAAAAAUUUAAACUAAGUAAAUAAAUAAAUAAAUAAAUAAAAAUAAAACUUUACAACUUGGGCCACUUUGACAAUUUGGCCUGAUUUUCAACUAAGUAUGGAUGGAUUUCUUGAUUGGGCUGGGAAUUUGCUUAUUGGGCCUCGCCUUCAAGAAUUUGGGCUUUUGUGACUCGUAUCAUUCCCCCCUUCCUCAAAAAGAUUCGUCCUCGAAUCUAAAAAAUCAAAUGAACUCGACUUUCCUCUAUCGAACGGGACUAAUGGCAAUUGAGUCCACUGAAAAGAAUAGCCAUGAGAUAGUAAAUAGCAACGGAAACAAGCUUGUAGUCCAAUCAUAAGCAUAACAGAACAAGUAUAACGCAUGUGAAUGGACAGAUUCAGAUUACCAUGCAAACAAUCUAAUUUACUCACCACUGCCUCGUCAAAUAUUUGAAACAAAGAUGGACAUGUUUUAAGGCAUUCAGUCGUCUCACAUUGUUCCCACAAACCAUGAAUAAAUUGCGAGUAAUAAAUCAAAUGGUAAACAUAAUCGUCACAAGUAGGUAUUUGAAAAGAUUCACAUGGUUCACAGAGUUGCAUAAUCAUACCAUGCAUUAAUCGACGGUCUAUAGAUUCACUCACACAUGCAUUAUCAAAAACAAGAAUCUUUUUAUCAACCAUCAAAACAGAUAGAUCAUCAAUAAAUAAAAUAGGACAGUCAAGUACGUUUCGAUCUAAGUGUUCAUCAACACGAUCUUUAUCACUAUCCGAGGAGUACAAAAGUGUUUCAAAGGUUUCAAGCAUCUUACCUCGAUAAGCAGAAGAAUAAGGGUCGAUUUUACCUUUUUCAUUUAAAACAAACCUUCGCUCAUCGGGGGCAUAGUGUAGUCGAAUCUCCGUUGUUGAGUUAACCUUUGUCAAAUGGAACUCAAACUUCAUGUACAACCACAUAAACUGUUUAAGGCACGAAUAUAAAUUGAAAACAAAUUUGGAAAAUUUCGUUACCUUAUUCUCCAAAACAGAUUUGGACAAAUUCGAGGAUUUUACACAAGGUAAAUCAAGAGAAUAACAAAUCACGCUUCUUUUCGUAAUGACUUUAUCAACCACAAUCGAAGAGUAACAAUUAAUCGGAUCAAAAUGAGGGGAUCUUUUAAGAACUAAGUCACCAAAAGUUUUAUCAAUAAUUUUCAAAUCUGCACUGGACUCGGUUUCUAAAAUUUCCUUACCUCGCUUACCUUCGGGAUCAUGUAGUGUGAUUUCAUCUUUGCCUAAGUUGAUCGUAUGAAAGCGUCUUUCAUUUGAGAGGUAUUGAAGUUGAAAGUUAUCUUUCGAUCUUUCAGGAACCUGAAAAGUAGCAACACAAGAAAAAUUCAUAUCUUGGUUAGUGGAAACAUUCCUCACUAGCCUUUCCUCGUCUUUUUCUAACUCAUUUUCUCUUCUUUCUUCAACUUCUUUUUCAAAUUUCUUUUCUGUUUCACAUUCCUUUUCACUCUCAAUCUCUUUUUGCUCUUUUUCAUUCUCUUUUUCUUUUUCCUCACUUGUUUUAACAGAAUUUCUCAGUUUGAUUUGGUCCUCAUGGACUUGUUCCGGAGUGAGCGGCACUAAGGUAAGUUUCUUUCCUUGAUGCUUGAAAGAAUACCUAUUGGUACGACCAUCGUGAGUGACUUUUCGAUCCAGUUGCCACGGUUCUCCUAGCAACAAAUGGCAGGCUUGAAUAGGCAUUACGUCGCACACAACUUCGUCUUGAUACUUACCGAUAGAAAAGGCGAUGCGCACUUGUUGAGUGACCCUAAAUUGGCCUUCGUUGCUAAGCCCUUGUAGUUGAUAAGGUUGUGGAUGCUUGGUAGUGGUUAAGCAAAGCUUUUCCACCAUCGUCGUGCUGGCUAUGUUCGAGCAACUUUCACCAUCAAUAAUAACUCUACAAAGCUUACCUUGUACGUGGCAGCGAGUAUGAAAGAGAUGUUCUCGUUGCUGCUCGCUCUUUGGUUUUGCCAAAGAUGAUUGUCCAUGAUCAUGACAAUCAUCAUCCAUUCUAGGGACACGUUGAGGGUUGCACCUAUGGGGCUGGUUAUCCCUAUCUUCCUUAAUUGGAUCUCGAUAUUGAUGUUUUUGAUUCACUCGUACCUCAUUCAAAGUAGUAUUCAAUGCUUGAAGUGUAGCAUUUAUUUGUGUGAUUGCAGCAGUAUGUCUGUCUAACUGUUGUUGGACUUUCAUAAGUGCAUCAUUAUUAUCACCUUUAGACAUCUUCAAAACCUGUAAAAAAUAAACACUCAACACUCAAAAAUAAAAGUUAGCAAACCUCACCAUUAAUCACUCAAAAAGAAAAAUCAAAUUCUCAAUGAGGUCGAAUUCAAUCUUGUGAGUUCUUUAUCAGAGUUUAUAUCAACCAAUUAGAGAGUGUGAACCAAACUACCAAAGAAUCCUAAUUUGCACUAGGAUGCCAAAAACUGACGAGACACCAAGUGAUUCGUGUUGCACCGAGGAAGGAUUGUGCACACGUUUAAAUCCUACUAACACAAGAAACAAGAAGGUGUUAGAUAUUUUAAAAGGAUAAUAAAAAGCAAACAAAUGAAAACCUACAGCUAAGAAUCAAUAAAAAUUGCUGAAAACAGAAAACCCGAAAAACUGUGGAGUAACUUGAAAACUUCGUUCGAGGUGUUCCCGAUCUCAAAAAAUCACAAAAUUAAAUUUGGAAUGUCUUCAAAUAUUGAAUUUUUGAUCUGGAAAAUUUGGGCACCAAAUUCAACCCGCUGAAUAUUUUUUUUAAUUUUUUAUUGGAUUUCGUAUUUUUCAAUUUUUUUGACUUUUUCGACUUAUUUUUUUGCGGGAAAUAUUUUUGUAUAUUCAAUAACAGUGCCAAAAAUAUGUAUGUAAAAUUUCAGAUCAAUCAGAAAACGUUUACCCACUCAAAUGAAUUUUUUUUCGAAAAUUUUUCUGGGUAAAACUGCUGUUUGUAAUUUAAAAAAUAGAGAUCAGUUUAGAAAUCAACCAAGAACACCCAAAACGCCCAAAAUCUGAUACCAAAUGAUACGGGGUUGCGCGCGGACCAAGAUCGAGUUGUCAAGUCACGGGAAACUCCUACGAAAACCCUAAACAAUUAGAUCCGAAACGAAACAGAAAAAUUAAAAGAUUAGAACUUUGAAUUUCCAGAUCUGAAAUAAAAUCCCCAAAUCAGAAAAGAAUCAAAUUGAGAAUAGAAAUAAGUGUUAGGGUUCUUGAAACCCUCAAGGAGAUUGUGAUUCUGCCCAAUUGAACACCAAGAUAGUUUUUCCUAAAUUUCGACAAUCUAAUUUCACCCAAAAAGAGUAUGGAAAAACCCUAGAAAUUGGGGAUUUUGGGCUGAUUCCUUAAGAUAGAAAAAGGCUGAAAACAAAAUAAGAACAGAAAAUAGAUUAGAUAAUGAUUCAGCACAAGUAGAAAUAAAAAAAAGAAUUGACAGUAAGAAAUUAAAAGAUAAGUCCUAAGAAGCCUUGAAAUCUCGAAAGAUCUCACAACUCCCUUCAAACGGCUCUAAUCUCCCCUCCAAAGAAUAUCAAUGGCAAGAAGAAGGUUGAAGAUGGCUCCCACAAUCACAAGAUUGUUAAAACAACUUCUAAAGAAAACUCAAGAGAGAAAUCUUGGAGAAAACUCAAAGAAAAUUCUGCUCUCAACAAAUCUGAAAUUUUAAUAAUAAUGAUAAGUGUUUAACAAGGUGGACAGCCAUGCCUUUAAAUAGGCCUUAUAACUAGUCCUAAUCUAAUUAGAAAACUAAAAUAAAAAAAACUCCUAAUUAUUUUAAUAUGGAAAUUCGGUCAAAUGUCAUUUUAUCUAGGACUCUUGGACUGAAUAUUGACAUAAAAAUUUAAACUAAGUAAAUAAAUAAAUAAAUAAAUAAAAAUAAAAAUAAAACUUUACAACUUGGGCCACUUUGACAAUUUGGCCUGAUUUUCAACUAAGUAUGGAUGGAUUUCUUGAUUGGGCUGGGAAUUUGCUUAUUGGGCCUCGCCUUCAAGAAUUUGGGCUUUUGUGACUCGUAUC
rnacentral:lncRNA from 1 species